rnacentral:rRNA from 1 species
AAAUUGAAGAGUUUGAUCAUGGCUCAGAUUGAACGCUGGCGGCAGGCCUAACACAUGCAAGUCGAACGGUAACACAGAGAGCUUGCUCUCGGGUGACGAGUGGCGGACGGGUGAGUAAUGUCUGGGAAACUGCCUGAUGGAGGGGGAUAACUACUGGAAACGGUGGCUAAUACCGCAUAACGUCGCAAGACCAAAGAGGGGGACCUUCGGGCCUCUUGCCAUCAGAUGUGCCCAGAUGGGAUUAG